AUAAUGUCCUUCCUCUACCAUUUGUAAUGCAUUCAAAUCUUACUAUAAAUAGAGACCGAUUAUACAUAAGUUUCUCCAUCCUAUAAUUUCAAGUAUCAUAAGCUAAGUUUUGUGGGAAAAGAAAUGGGUUCUAAGGCAUUUAUGUUCCUUGGCCUUUUUUUGAUCAUUUAUGUAAUGAUAAGCUCUGAGGUUGUAGCUAAAGAGUUGAGUGAGACUUCAGAAGAGAAGUAAAAGAAAUCCAAUAACAAAAAUGUAGUACAUGAAGACCAAUUUGGUGGCUACCCUGGCAUCGGAUACCCUGGUGGUGGUGGUGGUGGUGGUGGAGGAGGAGGAGGAGGAGGAGGAUACUGCAGCAAUGGUUGUUGCAACGGCAAUAACUAUUGAGUGCUAUAGGUGCUGUUAAUUAUGUGGAGCAAUAUAUAUAAAACUUUUGUAAUGGCAAAGAUGUAAUACUAGUGAUUAAUACUCUUGCUACUUUAAUUUCUAGAACUUCUUGUAAGAAUUAUGAAAUAAAAAACCAUCAUGUAUGUAAUGUUUGUUAAUUAUAUAUAUUAUAGUGUGUGACAAUAUUUUUCAUAA